UACGUAGGGUCCGAGCGUUGUCCGGAAUUAUUGGGCGUAAAGGGCUCGUAGGCGGUUUGUCGCGUCGGGAGUGAAAACACCGGGCUUAACUCGGUGCUUGCUUUCGAUACGGGCAGACUAGAGGUAUGCAGGGGAGAACGGAAUUCCUGGUGUAGAGGUGAAAUUCGUAGAUAUUGGGAGGAACACCGGUGGCGAAGGCGACCGCCUGGACAGUGACUGACGCUCAGGUGCGAAAGCGUGGGGAGCAAACAGG
rnacentral:rRNA from 1 species